CAAAUAGAAGCCCCCACCAUGGCAUCUGAACUUGGUUAUUCAAGAAAAUGCAGAGGAUUAGGGAGACUGUGAGUGUCACCAGAAGCAAUGCAUUAAACCACCAAGAAGGUAGGAUUUUAAAAUGGAUUAUUGAGGUCAUUGCUAAAUAUGUGCUAUACCAUUCAAGGGAAUCAAUGUGGUUAUUUCUCCCGGUACUUUGCUCCAAUCAUGCAAAAUAAUGGAGUUAGACUAGAGCUAAAUUGGACUGUCUUUUUCUGAUCCCAGAAUGACUUGAAUUUGGGAGCCUAUUUUAAUCUUCUAAUACAGCUUAGAGAUGUCAGCAGGUGAACCAUCUUGGUUAUCGAUUGGCGCUCAACAGUGAAGGUAAAGGGAUGGCUUCAGAUUUCGUCCGAAGUUCCUUUCCACUAUUGAAAUAUUAUCAUGCAAAAUUUUCAGUAUGCAUAGGUUUGUAAAUCUAACACAUUGUGAAAAAGUUUAAUUCUACUAACAGCAAACUGUGAGUACUAUGAAAAUAUUCAAUGUACAAAUGUAAAAUUCUCUCUUUAACAUGCGCCACCCCAUUUUCUUAGUA